rnacentral:lncRNA from 1 species
GUUGCAAUCGAUACCCUUUUUUCCCUGUUUGGGUUUGUUUGUUCGGAGUCGGAUAUAAGUCCAUUUAUUGGCAUUCUGUUUCCUAUUGGUGUUUGUUCGUUCGGAGUCGGAUGUAAGUCCAUUCAUUGGCAUUCUGUUUCCUGUUUGCGUUUGUUUGUUCGGAGUCGGAUGUAAGUCCAUCUAUUGGCAUUCUGUUUCCUUGGUGUGUUUGUUUCGACGUCUCAGCGUCUCUGUUCAGUGUUUUGUUUCGGCGUGCGUUAGCCGAGCUACGAGUGCUCUGAUUCUUUCUCUAGUUAGAGAAGAUACGUAUGCAUAGGAUGCGAUGUCCUAGCGAGCACGUUCCCCAUUUCCCCGAACUACGUCGACUCUAAUGUUUGUUUCUGACAAACUACGUAGGCCUAGGAUGUGAUAUCCUUCCGAGUCCCCUUCCUCCAUCUUCUUUCACCUGUUUCUUAUUCUAGUGUGUGUGCAUUCUUUGAGUAGUUUAUUUAGCAACCUUAUUCUAUUCUUUUGAGCGUGGAUCCCGUCGAGUACGACGGACGUGAGGGGUGCUAAUACCUUCCCCUUGCGUAACCGACUCCCGUACCUUGCAAUCUCUGGUCGUAAGACCAUUCCUUUCCCUUUUUCAGGUUUACUUCGAGCGUUUCCUUUCCCUCCUUUGGGAUAAAUAACGCACGGUGGCGGCUCUGUGUCUUUUCCCGCCGGUUGUUUUUCACAUUGCGACAGAAGCAAAAUGCAAAAAUGCAAAUGAAGCUCAUGUAGCCAUACUCCACGUGUACAGUCCCAUGCAAGGCUUGGAAUUCACUCAAAAUCAUCCGAUGGUCAUGAUUUGAUGAUUAAUUUGCUUGCACCUUAAGCCAAAAAUGAAUUGUGAAUAUUUUCUUCCAAAUGAACAUGUGUGAAAUAGUGAGAAUACAAGCCAUGAUUCCUU